GUAACUCGGUUGGAUUUCGUAAUAAACAUACACACACAUACAUAUACACUUAUAUUAAGGCGAAUAGGGUUCCAUGGUUAUGCGAAGUGUAUCGUACUUAUACGUAUAUAUAUAUAUAUAUAUGCAUAGGGUGUUCCUUUCGUACAAAGGUAUCGAUUCCACGUAGAAUAAAUAAGAAAUGUAGAAUUCAAUCACAAUGAAAUACUAAAUAAAUUUUUGUGCAAACAAAAUUUGAUAAGGCCAAAAUUGUCUAUAGUAUAUUAUUUAUUUAUUAUUUUUUAUAUGGGUAAAUAAAAUUAUAUUAUGGUGUUUAUAAUAGUAAUUAAAAGGACACCUUGUGUGUUAAGGUAUCGAACUGUCGAGAGAUUAGAAACAUUGCGUGGGCGACGUAAACGGGUUAUAUUCAGGAUCGAAUGUUGCAUUGUGAAAAUCGUUCCUUUCGCAUGCUGCUCGAACUAACUGCCAUGCUUUAUGUUCUCUUUAUCUUUCUCUCAGUAAUUCAAUUCAAACAAUUUUUUUAAAUGUUUUUUUAAAUCUAUUUUAUGUAUGUAUACACAUUUGCAGGUGGACAGAUUGAAGAUUCUAAAAUCAAUGAUGACGUUCGUAACUCGUGCCGAGGAAAAGAAAGGAAGACGUUCUUCCAUUGAUUUUAUGAGAGAGAUUUGAUCUCGCUGAGGUAGUAAUAAUAAGUAAGUAAGGUGAAGAGUCGUCGUCGAGUAACACACAACAACCAAGGUGAUCCAGUGCGAAAGCGAGAGGCCUUUCUGAGGGACUCCCAGAAGAAAGGAAAGAUUGACGGAAGGAAGACAGAGUCUGAAGAGCAAGAAGAAGAAGAAGAAGAAGAAGAUAAAAACACAGGAAUGAAAGAAGAAAAGAAAAGAAAAGAAAAAUACUUAUGAAACCUUCGAAGAGACAAUGAACUAGUAAUAAAAGUUAAAAGGGAUGAUGGGAACCUGCAUUAUCGACUAUCAAAUACAUAUACAAAAGUAAUAAUAUCUUUCUUCAUGAAUUGAAAUAACGAAUGGUCGAACAAAAGUCAGGAUGACCGGUCCUAAUAAUAACAUUUCAUACGAAGAAAGUCAUGAUAAUCAUGGGGUAUCAAAUGGAAAUUAUAUGUCUGACAAUGUUCCCUGAUUCCUGUCACGUGAUUGAAAUCAUUUCUUCUUUAACAUAAUGAUUAUUUUCUCUCAGAGAUUUUUUUCAGUUAAAUCAAAGCUUCGGUGGUCAGUAUUCUCUUAAACAAAGUCUGCGCUUUAAUCUUAUCUAAAACUUGUCAUAAGCACAGUGGUAGUAUAACGAAGAUUAAUUGGAUUUAAAGAUGAUUAUCGUGACACUACCGAAAUCUCAGUUAAUUUUCUCUGGGAGGGAGAAUUUGUAUGCCUUUCUGUAUGAUCUGACACGGUCUGUUCAGUGUAAAUACAUGUAUACACAUACAGUAUAUACGUGUGUUUCUUUCUUUCUCUUUUUGUGUUAUUAUUCAUGGGUACACGUGAGUGCAACAAAGAAGGAGACAGUGAAUAUGACAAAGCAAAAAGGGAAGCUAAAGAGAAAGAGGAAGAGAGGAAAA
rnacentral:lncRNA from 1 species